AAAAAGAUUGUGGCACCAGGUGUAGAGAGCACCAAAAGAUCUUUCAUCGGGGCCCACAGUCCAGCUCAGUGGCCUGACUGUAACAGGGUGGUGGAGGCCGUCUUCCUGAGACUCUGUGCCCUCUACCCAAAUGCUGUGCACUGUGAUGGUAAAAAGGUGUCCCGGUUCACAAUGAUGGCUCGUUUAUACAAACACAUCCGGGAGUGUGUGAUAACAAACAGUAGAGUGAUGAGUGAGACCACCAUCCAGCUCCCCGAAGUAAACGCUGCCACACUCACACAAUGGUACAGCAGGCGCAGCAGGGGACAGGAACAAAAAAUUCUGCACCGGGGCGUCCCAGCUCCAGAUCCACCCAUGGCUGCCCCAGAAAAACUAUGUCCAGCGGUACAGAAAGACCCCUCCCUGUUUUCAGCCAGUUUACUUCCGCUUCAUCAAUUCAUCUUGCCACUAAAUACUGCUGGGGAAGCACAUCUGAAAGGGAGGCCACAACCCCAAGCCAUCUUCCCAACUCCACAGCCCCAUCCACAGCUGCACUUCCUGUCACAGCUGCCACCUGGCUACGUUGUCCCGUCAGGGGCUGCAUCCUCACAGGUGACGGCUGCACCUGGAUGCUCACAAUACAUACUUUCAUAUACACCAUUAUCAUCACCAUCCACCCAGACACAAGCACACAAUGAAAGCGGACGUAGGAAACGGGUAGAAGAGCACACAGUCCAAGGAAAAAGAAAAU